UACGGAGGGGGCUAGCGUUGUUCGGAAUUACUGGGCGUAAAGCGCACGUAGGCGGCUUUGCAAGUUAGAGGUGAAAGCCCGGGGCUCAACUCCGGAAUUGCCUUUAAAACUGCAUCGCUAGAAUUGUGGAGAGGUAAGUGGAAUUCCGAGUGUAGAGGUGAAAUUCGUAGAUAUUCGGAAGAACACCAGUGGCGAAGGCGGCGACCUGGACGGACACUGACGCUGAGACGCGAAAGCGUGGGGAGCAAACAGG
rnacentral:rRNA from 1 species